CUCAAAUGGGAAAGUGGAAGCUCUGAGACACUCCGCUGCAGCUCACCGCCGACCAGGAGAGGUCCGAGUGUCACAGCAGGCUGGGGUGUCAUUGAGAGACUGAGAGAUCUCCUGUGAUGAGCAGGUCUCAGCAGGCAGCCGUAAGGCUCACAGGGCAGAGGUCUAGGACAGCAGCAGUCUUGGCGGACUCUUCAAUCUUCCUAUGAAGUCUGGGGGCCUGAGAGGCUGAGGGUGCAGCCCGCUGGGAGUCAGACUGCGCAAGCUAGGAUGUGGGUGCUCUCAGUCUCAGACCGGAAUUGGUUGGGCGCGUGGGACAAGAAAGGCCUGUGAAACCUGGGGAGAGAAACAAAAAGCUGGUUAAAACUGGGGGGAGCUUUAAUCUGGGUCACUGCUCUGGUCCCCUUCCCUCGGGGUUGCGGAGGGAGCUGGGAAAGGGUGUGGGAACCCCAAUGCCUAAUUCAGGCCCCCCUGCCAUGAAUUCCUGGCUGCUGGGCUCUUUUAUCUGUUGCACAUGUGAGGUUCCCUUCUGCCUCUGUGGCAUGUGUCCCUGAUGACUGGACUACCCCACACUGGAAGCCUGCGUCCUGGGUGAACCAGGCCUCUGGGCUGGAAAUGGGAGACGCAGAGCAGCUAAGGCUCUUUCGUGGUUCCAUCCUACAACUCCGUCCCAACACCGUGACUUCAGGAUGACCGAGGUCUGCAUCCCCCAGCCUAGUCACUUACAUUGCAAGGAUAUAGGUGAAAGGGGACUGGUGGACUUUACCAUACAGUGUUGAAGGACGUGAUUUAGCCAUCCCACGGUAUCUAGACCUAGCCCUUCCCCACACUUUACCCUGUAAGUGCUCACAUCUAUGAUCUGUCAGUUGAUGGCAGAAAUUAAUAAAAGCAGAGAUACAGCUGAGCAUGGAAA